rnacentral:rRNA from 1 species
CCCAUGUGACUUACCAUUGUUGCCUCGGCAGAACCUACCCGGUACCUACCCUGUAACGACCUACCCUGUAGCGAGUUACCCGGGAACGGCUAUCGUGUAACGUUUCGCCGAUGGACAUCUAAACUAUUGUUAUUUUACAGUAAUCUGAGCGUCUUAUUUUAAUAAGUCAAAACUUUCAACAACGGAUCUCUUGGUUCUGGCAUCGAUGAAGAACGCAGCGAAAUGCGAUACGUAAUGUGAAUUGCAGAAUUCAGUGAGUCAUCGAAUCUUUGAACGCACAUUGCGCCCAUUAGUAUUCUAGUGGGCAUGCCUGUUCGAGCGUCAUUUCAACCCUUAAGCCUAGCUUAGUGUUGGCUAUCUACUGUAUCGUAGUGGCCUAAAUACAACGGCGGAUCUGUGGUAUCCUCUGAGCGUAGUAAUUUUUUUCUCGCUUUUGUUAGGUGCUGCAGCCCUCGGCCGCUAAACCCCCCAAUUUUUAAUGGUUGACCUCGGAUCAGGUAGGGAUACCCGCUGAACUUAAGCAUAUCAAUA